rnacentral:rRNA from 1 species
UUCCGGUUGAUCCCGCCGGACCCCACUGCUAUCGGGAUAGGACUAAGACAUGCUAGUCGAGCGCCUUCUAGCCAAAAGGAGGCGCGGCAUACAGCUCAGUAACACGUGGCUAACCUGCCCUUGGGAUAGGAAUACUCCCGGGAAACUGGGGCUAUUUCCCAAUAGGUGAAGAACUCUGGAAUGAGUCUCCGCCAGAAAGGACUCCUGCACUACGCUUGCAGGUUUCGCCCAAGGAUGGGGCCGCGACCGAUCAGGUUGUUGGUGAGGUAAUGGCUCACCGAGCCUUUUACCGGUGCGGGCCGUGGGAGCGGGAGCCCGGAGAUGGGCACUGAGACAAGGGCCCAGGCCCUACGGGGCGCAGCAGUCGCGAAAACUUUGCAAUACACGCAAGUGUGACAGGGCUAUCCCGAGUGCCAUCCGCUGAGGAAGGCUUUUACCCAGUCUAGAACGCUGGGGGAAUAAGGAGAGGGCAAGUCUGGUGUCAGCCGCCGCGGUAAUACCAGCUCUCCGAGUGGUGUGGAUGUUUAUUGGGCCUAAAGCAUCCGUAGCUGGCUAAGUUAGUCCCUUGUUAAAUCCACCGAAUUAAUCGUUGGAUUGCGGGGGAUACUGCUUGGCUAGGGGACGAGAGAGGCAGACGGUAUUUUUGGGGUAGGGGUGAAAUCCUAUAAUCCCAGGAAGACCACCAGUGGCGAAGGCUGUCUGCUAGAACGCGCCCGACGGUGAGGGAUGAAAGCUGGGGGAGCGAACCGGAUUAGAUACCCGGGUAGUCCCAGCUGUAAACGAUGCAGGCUAGGUGUUUGGACGGCCACGUGCCGUUCUAAUGCCGCAGGGAAGCUGUUAAGCCUGCCGCCUGGGGAGUACGAUCGCAAGAUUGAAACUUAAAGGAAUUGGCGGGGGAGCACCACAAGGGGUGAAGCUUGCGGUUUAAUUGGAUUCAACGCCGGG